ensembl:processed_transcript
CCAGCUUUUCCAGUGAGCAUGUCUGAUGGAAAUGAGCAAGAGGAUGCUUUGGGGACCACACAUUGAGCUAUUGGGAAGUCACAACCUCUGAACUGAAAACCUCAAGUACCCACCAGGCUAGAGCAAAGAGUAAGUCAUUUGUAUUUUUUAAUAGACAGGACCUACCUACUGUGUUGAGCUGUGCAGAGGGCAAUAUUGGAGAAGCUUAAUGAGCUGGACAUAAAGAUUAACCAUCUAACUUCAGUGGUCCAGUCUCUUGCUUCGGCCAAGUGUUCAAAUGGUGGUGGACAUUGAGGAUUACAUCUUUCCUAUUGAAACAAUGGAAGACCUUGAACAACUGGAAAAGGCAAUUAGCCGAAAAUCCAAUGAUGGAAAAGAUGAUAAAGAGGUUAUCCAUCAGAGGAGGACAAACUCUAAAAAUUUAGAGUUAUGGCGUAUUUGCUCCAAAGUGUUCGUUCCAGUAGCCAAACAGCUCAACUGGUGUGGAGGAGAAAAAAAGAGGACUAAAAAACACAAAUAUUGGGACACUUGUGAUAGGUGCAGCUGAGGAACCCCGUGCUUCCGUCUUCAACAAGGCAGAAACAGAAAACAUUUUAAAGACUUCCUCCGCUUGGCCCCAGAAAGAAUGGACUCUUAAGCGACUUGAUCACUUUAAAUGUGUUUUGUUUGGUUCU